CUUACACUUUCAUCCUCCAAUCAAUUAAAAUAUUUUUUGACCAAUAGCGUUAUUAUUUACUGAGGCUUCGCUUGAGGGAUAUUUUGAUUAACCGCAAAUUUACGUCAUACAACAUCUGUGUAUAAUAUCACAAUUUACAUGCGCUCUAUAAACUGCUCAUUGGCAUUGCGCAAAAUAUCCUUCAAGACUUAUUCUUAUUUAAUAUCAAAUUAUGGUAAGUCCUUUAUCUUAAUUGUUUUUUAUUUUGUUGUGUGUUUGUUUGCCUUCAAUUUGUACUUGAGUAUUUAGGAAUAGUUUAACUUAUUAGUUUUUUGUAUUCUAAUGUUACUUCUUGCGCAACGUGUUUUAAUAAUUUUCUAAAAAGUAUAUCAGCGUAAUUUGUUUAAAAUGGAUCAAGUUAGGGUAUUUGGCUGAGCAGUAGUAUGUCCUCUCAAAUGUUGCAACAUAAGAAGGCUUUUGACGCAGACGUAGAGGUGGGUUUUAUUUGCUUGUUUUGAGGAUGUUACCCCGACGGGAGUUUCUAGAAAUGAGCAUUAAAACAUUCGAAACGUCAAAUACCAGAGUAUUAUCUUUAUAAGGAUCAAUACAAUGUCCACUUCCUGACGAGAAUCUGGUAUUAUACUACAUAAUUUUGAAUUUUAUUUUAACGCUGAUGUAUUUUUAUUUUCUUUCUUUAAACAAUCAUGCGCGCGUUUCCACUUUAUAUUAAAUGUUUGUUUUUGUUGUUUGUUGUAAUACUUGUGCUUUAAAGUUGUACUUUUUAUCUAAAGAAUUGAGUAAUUAUGUUAUAUUAGGUUAAUUGUGUAUCAUAUUAUGCUUACCACAACGAUAGCAAUUGUUAAUAAUUGUUUUGAUUUUUGUUAAAUGUUUUUGAAUAUUUAUCUGAUAAAUUCAGAUAGGUUUACUUAGAUGCUCUUUUGUUUUUAUCUGUGGCUGAAGGUAUUCGGGUUGCAUGUAAAUAAACAGAAUUAUUGUGUUUGUCAAUCUUUGAGUAUAUAAACUAAAUUUAAAACGAAUAUUUUUAUUAUAAGGUUGCAUGCUUUUAAGGUAUUUUUGCACGUUUGCAUGCGUCUAAGGCAUUUACGUCUAAAUAUGUUCCACUAGUGACUAUACUCACUUAUUCUAGUUGCGAACCUGAUAUGUAAAGAGAACAUGAUAAGACUGGACUGAGCGAGACUAAGAACCAUUAUUUACGAACACACAGAUUCAAAGCAAUAAAAACACUAAAUGACACAUAAAACUUUAACGUUUAGAACAAUACAAACACAAAACACAAUAACUUACAGAACACUGCAACAACACGUACUUAAAUCUAACAUGACCACCACUUACUUAACUCAACCUUAAUUACUGAAUAGUACCCUUCUUUUAAACAACAACUCUUAAUUCUGGACAUCUGUCCAAAUAUUAUAAUUUAUCUUGCACUUCCUUGCACUUAUAUAAAAUAUUUCUUGCUUCUCUUAAGACUAUUACGGCCUGAUGGUUCCAUAUAAGUGGUGGAACUUUAAUAGCUUCCACUGCGAAACAAUAACGAUUUUAAUUUAGAAACUCAGUGUAUUGAGGUAAAAUCCAAAGAAAAAUAUAGCGUUUUCACUUUUUGUUUUCCAAAAAAUCACUACUUACUUUUUAUGCGUUCUGAUUGAUUUGUUUUAAAACAAUUUGUUGCAGCUUUUUUUUAAAUUACAUUUUUUUAUACAAUAACAGUCAAAAUAAGCGGUAAACAAGAAUGAAUUUAACAACAUUCAGAUCUCACCUUCAGAUCUUACCUUUAAUAUUUUUUCGAUUUUAGAUUAUUUUCCGUAAACCUGAUGGCGAAUAUGAACAUUAAAGGGAGUAAACGUAAAGGCAGAGAAAACAAAAUAUCGUUUGAAAACCUUAAGUUAAAGGACGUUAUGUUUGAAGCGUUACAAGACAGGUAUACCGUUAGU